AUUCCUGUGGUUCAGUCAAUAGGGCAUUGCACUUGCAACACAAAGAUUUUGGGUUCGAACCCAAGCAGAAACA